rnacentral:lncRNA from 1 species
GGGGAGAAAGGGCUUUAUUUCAUCUUACAGGCAACCAACAGUCCCUCAUUAACGAAAUCCCUCAUUCAGGAUUUGAAUAAGAAACCAGAUGCUUGCUGGCUCACUCACAGGGUCAUACUUAGCUAUCCUUCUUAUAGAGACUAGCACCGCCUGCCUAGGGAAUGGUGCCACCCACAGGGGACUGGGCCCUCCUGUAUCAAUUGGCAAUGCACUUCCUCACAGACAUGUCUUUGGAACAAUCUAGCCUGGGCAGUUGAUCAAUUGAGACUCUCUUCUCCUUGUGGAUCCAGCUUCAGUGGAUGUGACACCUCCUAAGCAUGACUCCUCUUUGGUCUUCUUAGCCCCUGAUGGUUGCUAGGCAACCCUACUAGGUUCCCCAGCUGAGAUCACUUUGGUAACCAAGUCACUGUAUGGACCUACCUUGGUCUAACAUCCUCAUCCCUCCUUCCUCACUGGCCCUGACUCCUACGGAUCUCGAGCUGAAGACAGAGAGAAUCAUUGUCCUAAACCUGCAGUUGCCUUGGGUUUUUGGAAGUACAAAACCUGGAAGGUCAGGCUACCCCCAGAUGACAGUAAUCACUCAUGAGGUGCAGAACCCACCAAGCUGCAUUCUAAAGCAGAAGUGACCCUCUCACAGGAGCCAGACGGACUCACCAUAGCAUCACACUGAGGCCAUCACACUGGACCAAAGAUGAGGUGAUGAUCAAGGAGAUGGCAUCUGGACCAGGACUUCUUCAUGAUGUCAACAUCUUGCCCUUGCCCCAACUCAAAUCUAAAGUUAUUAUCGGCAUCCUGAUCUUCUGAAAUCUUGGGAUCACUGGGCCCCUUUAUCUGUUCCUCUCCCUAUGUGGACACUUUGAAUAAGAGGUGUCUCUGGUUUUUACUGCU